AGAACUGGGUGAACUUCUCCAGCCGUUCAGGACUCAGCUCCUUAGUUCUGCCUGAUGCAAGGAAGCAAAACACUCCAGAUGAACAGAAAACCCGGAUUCCUGUUUAUUGUGACCCAGCCUACUGAUGUUGUAACCCUAUUUGGGAUUGUGACCCACAGUUUGGGAACCGCUGGCCUAAAGCCUAUGCCUGGAAUAUCUGCAGAAGAGAAGGGUCACAUUGUUGACUACUGUGAACUGACAUGGAUGGUGGUGGUGCAGGGCCCAGGAGCACCCUUGGAAGAACUGCUAUGUGGCUGAAGCAGAGAGUACCCAAUUUUCUCCAUCUGGAGAUCUGGGUCACUGACUUCAGCAGAAUGCAGCCAAUUCACCACCUGGGGACCUGGCACAGGCAGAUGUAAAGUGCUAUGGGGAGUUGUAAAAUGCACAUCAGGUUCCAAGCCCUGGGCAGGAUCCAUCAGACCUGUGGGCACAGCUCCAUGACUGUGACUUAGCUCUUGCUGAGUGUAACAGGCAGCUGGAUGCUAGCCGCACUCUGGGUCGCAGGGCUCCCAGCACCAAGCCCACUUGGCUCAUCCAUCUCAGUCCCCACCAGCAAGUUCAGCCACAUGCAAUCUCAUUCAUUUUCCUUAGCAGCCACUGCCUGUUCAUAUCCCUUCCACUGCUGCUGCUGGGCAGAGGUCAGAUAAUGGAGGGGAAGAAAGCAGGGGAGGUCUCUCCUCCCUCAAGGGAAGAAGAAAUGAGAAGCUGGAGAAAUGGGAGAAAAAGAGGAGUAGGAAAAGCAGAGAGUGAGAAGAAUACUACUGAGGCUUUGGGUUUAUCCAGUGCUCUCCAUGUUUCCCAUAGCACCUCCCCAAGGCAGAGAGAAGGGAAAGCCAAAGGACCAGAGAAUUGCAAGGCUGUCAGAGACCUUAGGAGAUCAGCUAGU